rnacentral:rRNA from 1 species
CGCGUAGGCGGUUUGAUUAGUUAGGCGUGAAAUUCCCGGGCUUAACCUGGGGACUGCGCUUAAUACAGUCAGGCUUGAGUUCGGAAGAGGGUUGUGGAAUUCCCAGUGUAGAGGUGAAAUUCGUAGAUAUUGGGAAGAACACCGGUGGCGAAGGCGGCAACCUGGUCCGAUACUGACGCUGAGGCGCGAAAGCGUGGGGAGCAAACAGGAUUAGAUACCCUGGUAGUCCACGCUGUAAACGAUGUGUGCUGGAUGUUGGGUGACCUAGUCACUCAGUGUCGUAGCUAACGCGAUAAGCACACCGCCUGGGGAGUACGGCCGCAAGGUUGAA